CCCAACUCCCGGCUAACGGACCCACCUUCCGGUUCCAGCCCAGAGCUCGUGAGCCGCCAGCCCAGGAGCCUGCCCACCUCCAGCCUCCCUCGUCGCCCACCCUGAAAAGGCGCCAGGGCCUGCUGCCACCGACCUCGGCCCCGCAACCCUCGCUUCCGCGCUGCCGUUGCCUUGAUGCCCGGGCUGCCAGCCAUGGCCACCGCGCCGCUCUCACAAGUGUGCCAGAACUACCACCCCGAGUGCGAGGCCGCCGUCAACAGCCAGAUCAGCCUGGAGCUCUACGCCUCCUACGUGUACCGGUCCAUGGCCUUCUACUUCGACCGCGACGACGUGGCCUUGCAGAACUUCGCCCAGUUCUUCCUGCGCCAGUCCCGCGAGGAGACCGAGCAUGCCGAGAAGCUGAUGCAGCUGCAGAACCAGCGUGGAGGCCGCAUCCACCUCUGCGACAUCAAGAAGCCGGAUCUCGACGACUGGGAGAGCGGCCUGAAGGCCAUGGAGUGCGCCUUGCACCUGGAGAAGACCGUGAACCAGAGCCUGCUCGACCUGCACCAGCUGGCCACCGACAAGAAUGACGCCCACCUGUGCCAUUUCCUGGAGAGCCAGUACCUCCACGAGCAAGUCAAGUCCAUCAAAGAGUUGGGGGGCUAUGUCACCAACCUGCGCAAGCUGCGGGCUCCGGAAGACGGCAUGGCGGAGUACCUCUUCGACAAGCUCACCCUGGGCAACAGUGACAAAAAGAACUGAGUCGGGACUGUUUUCCCU